AAAUGGAGAGGAGUUGCGAAAUAUGUACUUGUGGACUAGGACUAGUACAACUCAACCUGGUAGAGAACAAGUGUAUAUGUCUUAACAGGCUUUACGCUUGGUGGACUAUGGACUAAUACAUACCGACUUGAUGAAGAACAAAUGUCUACGCAUUAACAGAGUUAAUGAAUCAUCUAUAUCUCAACAAGUUUGACGCUUUGUGGAUUAUGGACUGAUAUUUGUCG
rnacentral:lncRNA from 1 species